UAUGGUUGACACUGAAGUAGCUAACAUUUCAGUUGGUGGACCUACACCUUCCCAUCAGGAUGAAGGAGCACGUGAUGGUGGUGAGUCUGUCCUUGUUGGUACACAGUCAGGGACCGAGGAAAAAGCUAGUGCUGACACAGAGAUGGAAGAAAUUCCAUCUCCUGUACCUUCAACCUCUGUACAGGAUAAAGGACCAAUUGAUGGUGG